UUUCGGAGAGUUUGAUCCUGGCUCAGGACGAACGCUGGCGGCGUGCCUAAUACAUGCAAGUCGAGCGGAUUGAUGGGAGCUUGCUCCCUGAAAUCAGCGGCGGACGGGUGAGUAACACGUGGGUAACCUGCCUGUAAGACUGGGAUAACUCCGGGAAACCGGGGCUAAUACCGGAUAGUUCUUUUCCUCGCAUGAGGAAAAGUGGAAAGGCGGCUUCGGCUGCCACUUACAGAUGGACCCGCGGCGCAUUAGCUAGUUGGUGAGGUAACGGCUCACCAAGGCAACGAUGCGUAGCCGACCUGAGAGGGUGAUCGGCCACACUGGGACUGAGACACGGCCCAGACUCCUACGGGAGGCAGCAGUAGGGAAUCUUCCGCAAUGGACGAAAGUCUGACGGAGCAACGCCGCGUGAGUGAUGAAGGUUUU
rnacentral:rRNA from 1 species